GACCUGGCUACAAAUAUUAAACCUUGCCCGAACCAACAACCAUUUCAGUCGUUGGACUCCAAGCGUAGUGCAGUAGCAUUUUUUAAAAAGCUCAAGAUGAAGUGUCUCGUUGUUGCAGUCCUCAUUACAUUGGUUGUUCAAAGCCUAACUUCUGAAAUGGAAAGCGACUUUCAAACGCAGGCGCUCAAGAAAAGAGGGUGGAAAUCGCUCUGGUUUGCCUGUUCAAAGACUUCCGAAUGCCUCCCAGGCCAUGUUUGCGAACAUAAUGUUGAAAACUGCGCAAUUCCAAAAGACAACACGUGUUGCCUUUACGGAUAGGACGCCCUGGCACAACGAUACCAUAUGAAAAGUAUCGGAGUCACAUAAAGUUCGCAUUCUUCGAAAUGUUUGAUUAAAUUGGUUAUCAUUGUGUAUGUUGAUACCUUACAAUAAAUAGACGUCUGGAAAA